rnacentral:lncRNA from 1 species
AUUCUUAACGGGUUAACAGAUUAGCCGUUAAGAAAAUUGAAUAAUCCAUCCCCAAACCGAUAAGCCGUUAAUAAAAAAAAUUCAAUUCGUUCCCCGUCCGUUAAGACGUUACCAGUAAGCCGUUAAGCUUCGGUUUGGAUUGGUUUUCGAUUUCGGAUCGGUUUUGAACACCCCUAUACCUCAGUAAUCGAACUCCUUUGAACUCUCUUUGAAGAAUAACCAGUCUAUAACAAAAUCAACAAAUAAAUAUAGUCAACUCAUAAUAGUGCUUACACUUAAACUUUCUGAUUAGAAGUUAUUUAAUAUGGAAUUUGAAUGCUUGAUAACCAAAGUAACAUCAAUGACUAUUUUGUGUUAUUUUGUCCGUAAGAGCGCCACAUAUUUGAAAUGCACUCAGUCUAGGUAAUCUAUUUUUCGUUCUAAAAUUUUUGGUUUGUUCUUAAUUUUUUUUCCCUGAUAAAUUUCAAUUUGUGACACAUCCAAUUUGCAAUGAUUUAUAAACAAAGAAAAUAACAAAGUUAUACCAUGUCACAAUUACCAAAUACUCUCCACGGUAAUCAUGCUAAACCAAUCCUUUUUUUCGUUUUGUAUUCAAUCUUAGUACAUAAACUCACGGCAAAAAAUAUCUCAUCGAAAUAGUGCAAUGUGCUACAGAGUUAGUGUGCUGCAAUUCACAAAUAAAAUAUACUCUCUCUAUCCCAAUUUAUUCGUUCUAUUUUUCUUUUUAGCAUACCCCAAAAAGAUUGUAAUACUUUCUUCCUUAUUUAGAAACAAUUUAACUUUAAAAUUUAUAUUUUACCCUUAAUGAAAUUAUUUGCAGCUAUACAAAUAUAUAGCUAAUUUUAGACCAUAAAUUUUAAAACUUUUUUGUUUUUAAACUUUGUGCCGAGCCAAACAACGCUACAUAAAUUGGGAAGGAGGAAGUAACAGCUAAGGAUAAUACAAUUUUAUGAAGUAUUUAAAUCCAAAAGUGUAAAUAGUACAUGCUAUUGCACAAAAAAUUAUGCAAUCUAUGUAGCAAAUAAAAGUUACAGUGAGUCAAUUAUAGGCAAUAUCAAUGGCUUUCCUAGUGUAUUUCAAGAGCAAUUAAAGCUAAAAUUUCAACACUAUGGAUGUAAAACCUCCUCAAUCAUUAGUCAUUGCAUACAUUACACUACUCCCUCUUUUUUCAAAGAAGAAAUUUUUUGCUAUACCAAUCUUAGUUAAUUCUAUUCCUCUACACCAUAUGUGCUCCAUAUUAUUUAGAAAAGAUCUGACUGCUAGACUUGUAACUACAACGCGAAGACGCUAAAAUUAAUAAGUAAAAGUACAAAAGCAAGGACACACACUAAAUUGCGUGCAGAGAUUUAGGCAUUACCAUCAUAAAGAUAAACAUAAUACGUGGACGAUAUGUUGAAGGAUCGAAGAAAGGGUACCAAGAUGGAUCAUUCAUAGCCUUUUUGAAGUGAUGGAGGAGGAGCGGCGAAUCAUCCAUAACAAUGGCAAGUAAAUAUUUUCAUCUUUUGAGUACAAAACCAUUUCAAUGAGGUAAAUUCAAAGUGGGAAUAAAGCUUUAAAAUUCUCUGCAAAAUCAGAAAUUGAGAAGAAGAUUGAGAAAGUAGAACCGAGAGAUUGUGAGUUCGAGUCUCACCAAGAGCAAGGUGAGAAGUUCUUGGAGGGAAGGAUGCCGGAGGACUAUUUGGAAACAAUCUCUCUACCCCAGGGUAGGGGUAAGGUCUGCGUACACUCUACCCUCCCCAGACCCCAGUAAGUGGGAUUAUAUUGGGUUGUUGUUGUUGUUAUAGAGAAAGUAGAAAUAAUAUGAAGUGAUUGUCUUUAUACUCAUAUCUGAAAUAAGUCAGAUGAAUUAUGAUGGUUUGCGAUGAUACAUUUUUUUAAGUUUAAUACAAAGUUAACAAUUUUUUAAUUCUAAUUCUGCUUCAGUAGUUAUUAAAUUUUGAAAUACCAAAUGAGUACAAAGCAGUGCAAUAGAAUCAUCCUCAUAUAAUUAAUUAAUCAAUGUAAAUUCUUUCCACAACACGUGAAAAAUGCAUUAUGUUUUUCGAUUCAGCUAACUAAAUAGGAGAAAUAAAAAGUUAUUAUCACGACUAUUAUAACAAAACAAAAAAAAAAAGAGAUAUUAAUAGGCUAUAUUCAAAUAUUUGGGAUUCGGCUGGAUUUUAUGGCGGAGACAUAAAUAAAGUUAUUGACGUGAUGUAAAUUGCAAGUGAUAAAGUUUUAUCGGGCCAGUCUUAACUCCUCGAGAUGGAGAGACCAUACGGAUUGAAAGUUCUCUAUCAAACCAAGAAUAUUGCUUUUCAAUCCACAAAGUGUGUAGCCACGAUCUAUCAAAACUCAAGCUUCGACCAGGGAGAAUCUAGAAGUUUAAUGGAAACGUAACUUCUUGCAAUAAAUUCAUCAAACACCUUUGGCACAAAACGUUUUACCUAAAAAUUUAGCAAAACCCAAUUAUAACUAACUCAAGCUUCAGGUAGCAUCAGUCAUAUGCUUCAUAUUAAACCCAGUUUCAUUGGUAGUGUUAUUCUAGCAAGGAGAGGCAAAAAGGAAAGGCAAGAAAACCAAAUGAAAAGAAGGUUAAAUCAAAUUUAACCCAAUCGCUUAGACCACAAAUUAAAGUAGAAACUAUUUAUAUUGAUAAAUGUUCUGCAUAUAAGGAUAAAAAACAUGAGAUACAAAGUAGAAGCAAAGGGUAGAAGAGAAAAUCCAAAACAAAUAACAUCAACAACAAAGAAGAAUAGCAGACAAAACAUAAAAAUAAAAUAGGAAAAAAGUUGAAACAAAAAAUAGCUGACAGACUAACCUGAACCUUGCAACACCCAAAGUAGAAGACCGUUGAAGGUAAUUACUCCAAGCCAGAAGCUAAUGAAAUAGGAAGAAAGCCAUUGGAAAAAAGUAUGUAGGAUAAGAUUGAAAGAGAGGAGGAUGAGAAGAUUAAAGCAAAAAUUGAGGUAAAGGUCUAUCUAAACUUGCGAUGAGAAGAUGAAUGGAAGGUGAAAGAGUUGGAAAGAGGGAUUAAAGUGAGUUUCUAGAAUUAUGUG